CCCAUGGCGUAGUGGUCACUGCGCUCGCCUUGCACGCGGGAGACCCGGGUUCGAUUCCCAGCGGG
rnacentral:tRNA from 1 species